CUCUUUCAGCAAGACUAUGGCUAUCAGUUGCUUGACCCCUUCUAGCUCUGACAUGAAUAUAAUCUUUAGGCGCCUCAGGAGGCUUAGCAUCGUCCUUAUUGUCGCCUUUACUAUCGCACUUCUCUACUCCGUUUUUACUACUCCCAGCUACAUCUUGCUUGCUUCUCUUCCCACCUUUAGAUCCACCAUUCUCUCCUGAAACCU
rnacentral:sRNA from 1 species